UGGAAAGUUAAGUGCGCGCUGUUUGGAGUUUUGCUGCUGUAGAGCGCUGUGAGGGUUCCUCAUCUGUAUAACUGGUUUUGCUGAAUACCACUUCAUUGUCAAGUCUACAGCUGUACAGUAAUAUCUCUGAAAAGAUAGGAAAAUUACACAGUCAACUGUCAAAAGAGUAGUGCAAAGAGGGAGCGAAGGAAGGAAAAACCCUUUCCACCCACCUUGCUGCCACCACAGCCCCCAACCAGACCAGGUGGUAGAUGGUUAAUAAUGAUAAGAGAGCGUCUUCUUCGCUAUGAGCCCCACCGCCCAUUGAGGUCACUUGAGGAGGUCCGUCUCCAGUUGCUGCCAACUCGUUUGGUGGCUACACAGAGACGGACCUUCUCAGUUGCUGCCCCAAGAUUGUGGAAUGUGCUCCCUGCGGAGAUACGAUCCUCCCCAUCUCUGGCAAUUUUCAAAAAACACCUGAAAACACAUCUCUUCAACCAGGCUUUCUCAGCUUUUUAAAACUUGUUUUUAAAUUCUUCUGAUUAUCUAAUUGUUGUUUUAUGAUGUUUUUAGUUGUUAAUUAUCGUUUUUAUGCUUUAUUAUUUUUGUUUUAAUUAUUAACUGAUUUUAAUGGUGUUUUAAUGUAAACUGCC